UACGGAGGGUGCGAGCGUUGUCCGGAAUCACUGGGCGUAAAGGGCGCGUAGGCGGCGCGGGAAGUCAUCGGUGAAAGCUCAGGGCUCAACUCUGAGUCGGCCGGUGAUACUCUCGUGCUUGAGCACUGUAGAGGCAGGUGGAAUUCCGGGUGUAGCGGUGGAAUGCGUAGAGAUCCGGAAGAACACCGGUGGCGAAGGCGGCCUGCUGGGCAGUAGCUGACACUGAGGCGCGACAGCGUGGGGAGCAAACAGG
rnacentral:rRNA from 1 species